GAAACGCCCUUGAAAUGGGUGUUUCAAAAAAGACAAUGACCCCAAACACACCAGCAAGUGAGCAGCAUCUUGGUUCCAGACUAACAAGAUUAACGUUAUGGAGUCCUGGGACAAUAAUC